UACGUAGGGAGCAAGCGUUGUCCGGAAUCAUUGGGCGUAAAGCGCGCGUAGGCGGCCUCAUAAGUCCGUUGUGAAAGUCAAAGGCUCAACCUUUGAAAGCCGAUGGAUACUGUGAGGCUAGAGUCCGGAAGAGGCGAGUGGAAUUCCUGGUGUAGCGGUGGAAUGCGCACAUAUCAGGAGGAACACCAAUAGCGAAGGCAGCUCGCUGGGACGGUACUGACGCUAAGGCGCGAAAGCGUGGGGAGCGAACAGG
rnacentral:rRNA from 1 species